ensembl:lncRNA
UGCAACAUAGCGAUCCUACAAACAAACAAAAAAAAAGCUACAUAAAACCCUUUCAGCCUUAUGGACAUGGCAGCCCUUCAGAUCAUGGCAUCAGGAGAUUCUUCUUUGACACAUAUUACCAUAUAUUCUGAAGAUAAAUGCUGUUACCCUCAGCUUGCUUCUGCUUUGCUCUCUGGGCCUGGCUGGGGCUGGAACUGCAGAGAUGUCAGUGCAGAUAGGGCCUCCCAGAGGCUUAUGCUGGCCAGGAAAAUGCUGGCUGGGAAAAAGAUGUGCCCAAAUAAGAAGAGUCUGGAAGGAGUUUGUGAUGGUCUGUUAUUUCACUAUUAGCUAGGAGAUGUGAAAUUUCCUUUUCCGGAUGAGCACAUUUCGUGUUUUGCAUAAGAGAGCAAUUGCUUCUUGCAAGACUAAGCAUUUCUGCUAAUUUAAUGAGCUAUCCAUACAAAUAGACUGCAUUAGUCAUUGGACAGACCUUUUUCAAGUUCCACAAGCAUGUUUUAGACCUCUUGAUAAAGCCACUAGCAUGCUGGACUUCCGCAAGCAGAAAGACCUCCCGAAGUAUGCAAGUUAUUCCUGGCAUGUUGUAUUCUCAACAUGUCAAGGAAACAUGGAUUAUUUUUUACACAAACAGGCAAAUCAAAAUGGUUCCUUAGCAAGCUCCCAUGAAUAUUCUUGGACCCUGAGAAGGAAAAGAAUAAAGAAAAGUAAGAAAAAGAAUUGCUUCUGAAUUAGGUUUCUUAGAUGGACGUGUUGUCACACAUUCAGAAGUUCAUUUGCACCAAUUUGGACCUCUGAUGAAUGGUAGAGGGAGUGAAGGAUAAAAUAGAAAGAACAAACAAGGGCCAUUAAUUAAUCUGGAUAUUUUAUAUUUGAGUGGAUUUUUUUUGCCCAUACUGUGAAUUUAUCUUCAAAUGUAGACCGAGAUGAACUUGCAAACACUUUUGGAAGUUCUUUUAAUAGCUAUUGAUUGAAAGGUGAUGUGAAAGUGCUGAGAGGGAAAGGAUCUCUGGAGCUGAGUGGGCCAGUGUGGAAAGGACAGGCCAGCAUCUUGCUGGAAACCACAAAGCAGCACAGCAGCAAAACCCCUGGAGUGUCCUCAGCUCCCCUGACACUUUAGCACACAAAUUUGGCCUUAGGUCUCACAAACACUGGAGCUGUUUUGAAACUACCUGGGAAGGAUAACAAAUGCUAAGUGCAGUUUCUAGACAAAGACAGUAAGAUAUCACAGCUCUGGCCCCAGCUCGGUGUUUUAUGUCUGAGCUCGUGUUACCAUGCAGGGUCCCUAUGCAUUAAAUUGCCUCAGCCAAAACCCAGUUCUGACACUCACCAAAUAAUCCUGUGAUUUACCACAAUCCUAUGAUUAUGGUAAGACAAUAAAAAGUACUGCCUGACCUCAGCAUUUUUCCCAUUUCAGUGCAAAGGACUGUUUUUCCACACAGUGAAGGGAUUUUUAACAGAAAAGAGGUGUAAAGCAUGCAUAAACAGUGACACUUAAUGUGCAUCCUCAUCCAUAGCUCCUUCUGUGGGUCGUGUGGUUCCUGGUUCCAUGCUCAUGCUCAAAUUCAGGAGCAGCUCCUGCUGCUUGGGCUUGGUGCAGACUCAGCCAGCAGCCUUGAGCUUCAUUUUGGCCCAGCCACUGCCAUUAAUGCAAUGGUACCAAUAACGAUCAAUAAUGAUACCUUCACUCCGUGGGAGGGGUUUUUAUUGCAAGUACUUCAUCCCAGGAGAAACAGAAAAGGGGAAGAGGGGACUUUUGUGCAGCCAAAACCUGCAGCAAAGGGGUUCUGCUGGGUUUGGUGCUGCAGGGCUGGGAGCUGGACAUGAGCAUUCCUGGGGUCCCUUCCAGCUCAGCUCAUGCUGGGAGCUGGCCAUGAGCAUCCCUGGGGUCCCUUCCAGCCCAGCUCAUGCUGGGAGCUGGACAUGAGCAUCCCUGUGGGUCCCUUCCAGCUCACUCAUCCUGGGAGCUGUCAGUGGCUCCUCACCACAGGGACACUGCUGCUGUGUGAGGUGCAUUGUGGCUGCAGGAAAUCAAAGUUCACGCUGCCUUCUCUGUUUUCCUUCUAUUUUUCUAACCUUGCACCUCAAAUUUGCCCUCUCUCCUCUGACAGGCCUCAACAGGAAGCUUUGAGUGUGGUGAGAGCAGUGAGAGAAAAUAAGACAGUACCUCCGAGAUGUAAAAAAUACUACUGUUACUUCCUAUUGUUCAUCUGAAUCUCCACUCCUGAGAACUUGAGUUAAAUCCUAAAUUUUCCUUUCUUUUUAGGCAGAAUAUCCAGCAAGUUAUAAAAACAGCAUCACAAGGAGGUCCUAAGAUGGGGCUUGCUCCAGUUUUCCUGCUGAGCAUGUGUUUAGGAAUUGCUGCUAAAAAAAAUCAGAGGGGAUGGUAGUUCUGUGCUGUCACAUGGGCUGAUACAGCACAGAAUCUGCUUAGCAUUCCUGAAGGGAAAUUAUCCAGUGCUGCAACUCACAAUUUAUAAUUGGUUGCAUAUUAAUAGCUAAAAAAGGCAAUAAAAUCCGCUGUGUGUUUAAAAAAAAAAAAA